CGCGGCAAGAGUUUAAACAGUUUUUUUUCCUUCUAGCCGAUCAUCUGGGACUCGGGAGGCAGCGAAUAGAUUGGGGGCGGGGCCAGGCAGAGGUGAUAUUUACCAGUUCUCCGAACUACUCAAAAUUUCCACUACCGAUUCGCGAGAACCGGUAGCAACCCACCACUGCUCAGAUUCUCCUAACCAACUUGCUCAGAUAGAAGAAGCUGCUUGGAUGAAUGGUGGACUGUCUCAAACCAACAAGAAAAUAAGUCCAGUUGCCAUGACUCAACUUUCAGACAAUUCUACUUGGAUGACUGAGAAUCUUCACUGAAAUAUUUCACUGCAUUUUCUUUUUUAAAAGUUUAAUAGAAAAGUAGCCAUCUUGUUAAGCUGCCAGACAGAAUGGAGUUUCAUGGAGAAAAGGAGGCCCUUCCAUCUGGAUAAGAAUUUCUGUGAUUGACUGCAAACAACUGUACUUUGAUAGAUCAGUUAGCUACAUGUUUGGCUGGUGACUAGAACCUGCCUCCUUGAAUUCUGAACUGGGCAGGACUGAGCAGACUUGGAGAGAGAGGUAGUCUUGAGGGGAGGAAAUUGAAAUGAAAGGACAGGGGAGAGACCUAUACGUCCCACCAACACAGAGGGGAAAAGGGAAGAGACAACAGGACAGGAAAAAGGCAAGAAAGAAAGGA